rnacentral:lncRNA from 1 species
GCGUCGAAGGCUGUCGCACAAGUCAAUGCAUGGCUCGGUGUCGCUCACGGUGAGAAACGAGGAUUAAAAGUAGUUACCUACCUACGUACUCCCCCGUUCCGUUCUGUAUUUAACUGUAAGAAGGUGCGCACUGCUGGCGAACUGAACAUAUUCAAUACAUGUACACUGGAUUACACAUCAAAACAGCUCUACGCAUGGAUCAUGUCCAGGAGUAUAUCAUAUCAUACGAUUACAUCGGCAGAGACCGAUCGAUCGACGGGAAAAGAAUCUUUGAGAGAAAGUUGUUCAGAUUCAGAGGUUCUGGAUGAUCUUGAGGGUCUCGCCGAUGUGCUUCUCGGGCUGGAACUGGUUGUUGUAGAUGUACUGCACCACGCCCUUCUUGUCCAGCACGUAGGUCUGCCGCCCGGGGAGCGUCCCGAAGAGGUCCGACGGCACCCCCCACUCCUUGCGCACCUUGUUCCCCUCGUCGCUCAGCAGCGUGAAGGGCAGCCGGUACUUCUUGGCGAACGCCUUGUGCGACGCCGCGUCGUCCCCGCUGAUCCCGAUCACCUCCGCCCCCGCCUUCUUGUACUUCUCGUACGAGUCCCGGAACGCGCACGCCUACACGUUCAGAUCAUUGGAUCCAAUCCAACGGACAAUAAUCACUAUCACAUGCAGAUACACACAGUUCAUCAUCCAAAGAACAAUGAUCUAAUAUGUGUCACCUUUUUAUUAUUGCUUCAAAAUCAUGCAUGUUUCGUCCAAGAUCAGCCAGACAUACUACGUACAAAUACCCUAAUUAACUAGCUAUUUAGAGCUACUGCUCGUACAUGUAGACGAAGUCGGAGUUGCCGGCCAUGGCGUUGAUGACCUGGACCGUCAGCACGGCGCCGCCGGCCAUGACCACGAUGAUGAGCACGGCGGUGAUGGGGUUGCGCAGCAGCUCGUAGAUGGGCUGCACCAGCGCCCACGCGAACCCCGUGCUCACCGUCAGCGCGUACAGCCCGUACCGCCGCAUGUUGUCCCAGAACUCCUCCAGCAGCGGCCCCUCCGGCCCCAGCGCCAUCGCCGGGCCCGCGUCCACCGACAGCGCCAGCGCCAGCGCCACGCCCACCGUGAUGCCGCCGAUCAGCGCCCACGUCGGCAGCUCGCACGUCCGCCCUCCUCCGUUGGCGACGGCCUCCUCUUCGAUGGGCUGCUGCCUCCUCGGCGUCGCUGCUUCCAUGAUUUCUUCAGACGGUAUGGUCAUGGCGACCCGGUGGUGUUGUGGAGUGGGGUUAGGGGAGGAGAGGCCAGCUCGGACGGUGGUGGAGCCAUGGCGUUUGGAAAGGAAGGGAGACCCAAGUGGUGAGCUAGCUCCGGCAGAACCAAGAGGAUUGAAUGUCUUCUGGCGAAUGAUCUGAUUUGGACGAAAUUUGAUAUAUUAACAAGUGGCAAAUAAAUAGAGCUACUACUGUAUUUAAAUCAUAAUAGAAUUAAUCUCUGGCUCGAUCCAACUAAUAUAUAAUCCUCUGCACGAGGCAAAAAAUGAAUGACCAAUUUUCACGUUUGUCGUAUGUAAGUUGCUUUUUUUUUCCAGGGGAUAUGUAUGUAAGUUGCCUGGAAAUACAAUUAGGGUCGGUUGAUUUAGGAAGAGAAGGAGGCGGAGAUGUGGGCCCUGCAGUGUGCAGUAGCGAGACACAAGGUCGUCGAAGAGGCCAAGCGGGAAGCAACCGGAUCUAGGGUUGAAACGGCAUGGUGUCGUCGGUGGAGGUGGGAAGGGGUGUCCGAGUUCGAGUGGUUCGGGUGCAGUUCUGGUUAGGGGGCUCACCCGAGCUCAAGAAGAUGGCACGGUUAGAGCGAUGACCGGGAGCAACAGCAUACUAGAGAAGGUGGCGGCUUGGGAAGGGUAUGGGCGUAUGGCGGCGAGCCGAUGCCAUCGACAAUGCGUGGCGGUGGCAGGUUGGCCGGCUGUUGUUUGAGCGGAGGAGGAGAAAGAGGAUGAGUGGUAGGAGGAAGAAGACGGACGCCAACUGUUGUAUUACAAUCCAAGACGACUGAUAUAUAGUUGAUCUCAUAAUUUUUCGCAUGAACAUCCACGUUGAUGCCUUUUUGUGUGACGUAUCUACCUAGAGAAGGAGAGGAUUGUGAAGGAGAAGGAAGAGCGAGGAGAACGCAAUGAUGAACACCCUAUAAGCGAGUAGAUGGACAGUAUAUACUCCUCCCGAGGCUUAGAACAACUCUAGCAAAGUCGCCAUAAUAAUUAUCAAUAUGACGAUUCUAGCACAAAAAAGGCACCCUAACAGAGUCGCCAUAUAUGUUAGAAUCGUCAUAAUUUAUGUAGCACCCUCCAUAUCUGACCUUGGUGGCUCGAUAUUUGACGUCUUGGUGCCAACUUCUGAAAUGCACUCCAUAUGACAGGAAACUUCAGUGCCCCCCACGGCCCACCUCACGUGAGGUCCCAAGUCUAUAUUAAACCGCCUAGUACAUGCUGAUGUAUUAUAAGGUGUAUUUUUCUGUGUGAAAAAGUGUCAUUUUCUAAAAGUCGAAAUUUGACUUUUAGAAGAGAAAAACAAUACAUUCUAAAAAGAAGGGAUAUGCUUAUAGUCAGUGACGGCAUAGAUUGGCAUGCUGACGGACAAAGUGGUAAAUUGUCCCUAUUAGUUUUCCGGUGGACCAAUCAAUCGAUGCACGAAACUGUCGCAGAAAGAUGACUGACCUGUUUGGUGCAGCCCGGCGUCUCAUCGGCGGGGUAGAAGUAGAGGACGACGGGCUUGCCCUUGAACUUGGAGAGCGACACCGUCUUGCCGUCCUGGUCCUUGAGCGUGAAGUUGGGCGGCACGCUGCCCUUGCUCACCUGCAGCCACCACCAAAAUCCAACCCACUUCAGUCACCAGUUCAUUCACCACGCAUGAGUUCCCCACGAGCGCGAGAUGGUUAGCGAGGUUUGCAUACGCACCUUGCCGCAGACGAUGCCCGUGGACGCCGCGCGGCGGCGCGGCGCAGGCGCGAGUGCGAACGCCGACGCCGGCGCCCUGAGGCCGUGGAACGCGGCCGAGGUGGAGG